rnacentral:rRNA from 1 species
UACGGAGGGUGCAAGCGUUGUCCGGAAUCAUUGGGCGUAAAGAGCGCGUAGGCGGCCCUGUAAGUCCGCUGUGAAAGUCAAGGGCUCAACCCUUGAAUGCCGGUGGAUACUGCAGGGCUAGAGUCCGGAAGAGGCGAGUGGAAUUCCUGGUGUAGCGGUGAAAUGCGCAGAUAUCAGGAGGAACACCGAUGGCGAAGGCAGCUCGCUGGGACGGUACUGACGCUGAGGCGCGAAAGCGUGGGGAGCAAACAGG